GCAAGGCAGAAAACCCGGAGUGGAGCCCUCCGUAGACAGGCAUGGGAGACGGGGUCGACAGACCGAGGAGGGGGCUGGAUCAUGGCUGUGCGUGUGUCAGCAGGAACUGACUGGGUAGAAGACACUGCCUAUUGACCAGCGACUCCUGCAGAUGACCCCUGCAGAUGACCUUUCCCUGCAGAUGACUUGCUAAACCUCAGAUCUCAGUCAUUAGUCUGAGUGCUUGGAUCAAUGCCUGUGCAGACAGGAGCAGCGCAGCCCGCACAGCACACAUGCUCAUUCCUACAGAAAGUGUGAGACAGGAAGGAACGCCGGUUUCAGUGCAGAGCCGCUCACAUGCCUGGCUCUACACUGCCAUCCAGUGGCGG